rnacentral:rRNA from 1 species
CAUGUCUGAUGUGAAACCCUAUGGCUCAACCAUAAAAACUGCAUUGGAAACUGGUUACCUAGAGUAUGGGAGGGGGAGAUGGAAUUAGUGGUGUAGGGGUAAAAUCCGUAGAUAUCACUAGGAAUACCGAAAGCGAAGGCGAUCUCCUGGAACAAUACUGACGCUAAGGCGUGAAAGCGUGGGGAGCAAACGGGAUUAGAUACCCCGGUAGUCCACGCCCUAAACGAUGAACACUAGUCGUCGGAAUGCUAGUCAUUUCGGUGAUGCACUUAACAGAUUAAGUGUUCCGCCUGGGGAGUACGGUCGCAAGAUUAAAACUCAAAGGAAUAGACGGGGACCCGCACAAGUGGUGGAGCAUGUGGUUUAAUUCGAAGAUACGCGAAGAACCUUACCUAGCCUUGACAUUGAUUGAACGGACCAGAGAUGGACCGGUGCCCUUCGGGGAACAUGAAAACAGGUGCUGCACGGCUGUCGUCAGCUCGUGUCGUGAGAUGUUGGGUUAAGUCCCGCAACGAGCGCAACCCUCGUCACUAGUUACUAACGGUUCGGCCGAGGACUCUAGUGAGACUGCCUUCGUAAGGAGGAGGAAGGUGAGGACGACGUCAAGUCAUCAUGGCCCUUACGGCUAGGGCAACACACGUGCUACAAUGGCCAGGACAGUGAGACGCAAUACCGCGAGGUGGAGCAAAUCUAUAAACCUGGUCUCAGUUCGGAUUGUUCUCUGCAACUCGAGAACAUGAAGCUGGAAUCACUAGUAAUCGUAGAUCAGCUAUGCUACGGUGAAUACGUUCCCGGGUCUUGUACUCACCGCCCGUCACACCAUGGGAGUUGAUUUCACCCGAAGCGGGGAAGCUAAACUGGCUACCCUCCACGGUGGAAUUAGCGACUGGGGUGAAGUCGUAACAAGGUAACC